UAAUGUAUGGGGAUCUGCCCGAUAGAGGGGGAUAACUACUGGAAACGGUGGCUAAUACCGCAUAAUGUCUACGGACCAAAGCAGGGGCUCUUCGGACCUUGCACUAUCGGAUGAACCCAUAUGGGAUUAGCUAGUAGGUGGGGUAAAGCUCACCUAGGCGACGAUCUCUAGCUGGUCUGAGAGGAUGAUCAGCCACACUGGGACUGAGACACGGCCCAG
rnacentral:rRNA from 1 species